rnacentral:piRNA from 1 species
UUGGAGCCAGGAGCCUGCCAUGAGGU